rnacentral:rRNA from 1 species
GUCGAGAGGCUUCGGCAAUGGGGGAAACCCUGACCGAGCGACGCCGCGUGGAGGAUGAAGGCCUUCGGGUUGUAAACUCCUUUUGUUCGGGAAGAAACACGACCAGGUGAACAAUCUGGUCGUCUGACGGUACCGGACGAAUAAGCUCCGGCUAACUCCGUGCCAGCAGCCGCGGUAACACGGGGGGAGCAAGCGUUGUUCGGAAUCACUGGGCGUAAAGGGCGUGUAGGCGGUCAGGUAAGUGGGAUGUGAAAUGCCCCGGCUCACCCGGGGAUCUGCAUUCCAAACUGCUUGGCUUGAGUAUGGGAGAGGAUGAGGGAAUUCCUGGUGUAGCGGUGAAAUGCGUAGAUAUCAGGAGGAACACCGGUGGCGAAGGCGCUCAUCUGGCCCAAUACUGACGCUGAGGCGCGAAAGCUAGGGGAGCAAACGGGAUUAGAUACCCCAGUAGUCC